rnacentral:rRNA from 1 species
GAUGAACGCUGGCGGCGUGCCUAAUACAUGCAAGUCGAGCGAACGGACAAGAAGCUUGCUUCUCUGAUGUUAGCGGCGGACGGGUGAGUAACACGUGGAUAACCUACCUAUAAGACUGGGAUAACUUCGGGAAACCGGAGCUAAUACCGGAUAAUAUUUUGAACCGCAUGGUUCAAAAGUGAAAGACGGUCUUGCUGUCACUUAUAGAUGGAUCCGCGCUGCAUUAGCUAGUUGGUAAGGUAACGGCUUACCAAGGCAACGAUGCAUAGCCGACCUGAGAGGGUGAUCGGCCACACUGGAACUGAGACACGGUCCAGACUCCUACGGGAGGCAGCAGUAGGGAAUCUUCCGCAAUGGGCGAAGGCCUGACGGAGCAACGCCGCGUGAGUGAUGAAGGUCUUCGGAUCGUAAAACUCUGUUAUUAGGGAAGAACAUAUGUGUAAGUAACUGUGCACAUCUUGACGGUACCUAAUCAGAAAGCCACGGCUAACUACGUG